UGAAGGCGGGCUGGAAUCUCUCGGGGUUACAGCCUUGCUGAAUUAUUCACCCUUGUCUUUUGCGUACUUCUUGUUUCCUUGGUGGGUUCGCCCACCACUAGGACAAACAUAAACCUUUUGUAAUUGCAAUCAGCGUCAGUAACAAAUUAAUAAUUACAACUUUCAACAACGGAUCUCUUGGUUCUGGCAUCGAUGAAGAACGCAGCGAAAUGCGAUAAGUAGUGUGAAUUGCAGAAUUCAGUGAAUCAUCGAAUCUUUGAACGCACAUUGCGCCCUUUGGUAUUCCAAAGGGCAUGCCUGUUCGAGCGUCAUUUGUACCCUCAAGCUUUGCUUGGUGUUGGGCGUCUUGUCUCUAGCUUUGCUGGAGACUCGCCUUAAAGUAAUUGGCAGCCGGCCUACUGGUUUCGGAGCGCAGCACAAGUCGCACUCUCUAUCAGCAAAGGUCUAGCAUCCAUUAAGCCUUUUCUCACCCUUUUGACCUCGGAUCAGGUAGGGAUACCCGCUGAACUUAAGCAUAUCAAUAAGCGGAGGAA
rnacentral:rRNA from 1 species